GACGAACGCUGGCGGCGUGCUUAACACAUGCAAGUCGAACGGAAAGGCCCUGCUUUUGUGGGGUGCUCGAGUGGCGAACGGGUGAGUAACACGUGAGUAACCUGCCCUUGACUUUGGGAUAACUUCAGGAAACUGGGGCUAAUACCGGAUAGGAGCUCCUGCUGCAUGGUGGGGGUUGGAAAGUUUCGGCGGUUGGGGAUGGACUCGCGGCUUAUCAGCUUGUUGGUGGGGUAGUGGCUUACCAAGGCUUUGACGGGUAGCCGGCCUGAGAGGGUGACCGGCCACAUUGGGACUGAGGUACGGCCCAGACUCCUACGGGAGGCAGCGGUGGGGAAUAUUGCCCAAUGGGCGGAAGCCUGAUGCAGCAACGCCGCGUGCGGGAUGACGGCCUUCGAGUUGUAAACCGCUUUCGCCUGUGACGAAGCGUGAGUGACGGUAAUGGGUAAAGAAGCACCGGCUAACUACGUG
rnacentral:rRNA from 1 species